ACGUAGGGGGCAAGCGUUAUCCGGAUUUACUGGGUGUAAAGGGAGCGUAGACGGCGAUGCAAGUCUGAAGUGAAAUACCCGGGCUCAACCUGGGAACUGCUUUGGAAACUGUGUUGCUGGAGUGCUGGAGAGGUAAGCGGAAUUCCUAGUGUAGCGGUGAAAUGCGUAGAUAUUAGGAAGAACACCAGUGGCGAAGGCGGCUUACUGGACAGUAACUGACGUUCAGGCUCGAAAGCGUGGGGAGCAAACAG
rnacentral:rRNA from 1 species